rnacentral:rRNA from 1 species
GUGCCAGCAGCCGCGGUAAUACGUAAGGUCCGAGCGUUGUCCGGAAUCAUUGGGCGUAAAGGGUACGUAGGCGGGUAAGCAAGUUAGAAGUGAAAUCCUAUAGCUCAACUAUAGUAAGCUUUUAAAACUGCUCAUCUUGAGGUAUGGAAGGGAAAGUGGAAUUCCUAGUGUAGCGGUGAAAUGCGCAGAUAUUAGGAGGAAUACCGGUGGCGAAGGCGACUUUCUGGCCAUAACCUGACGCUGAGGUACGAAAGCGUGGGUAGCAAACAGGAUUAGAUACCCUGGUAGUCC